GAUCAUUACAAAUUCAGUGGGGCGUCGGUUUCGGCCGGCGCGUCGCGUCAACCUCUGUGAACCAUCUCUGUUGCCUCGGGGGCGACCCUGCCGUUUCGGCGGUAGGGGCUCCCGGUGGCCAUCUCAAACACUGCGUUUAUUUGCGUCGGAGUUUAAACAAAUCAAUCAAAACUUUCAACAACGGAUCUCUUGGUUCUGGCAUCGAUGAAGAACGCAGCGAAAUGCGAUAAGUAAUGUGAAUUGCAGAAUUCAGUGAAUCAUCGAAUCUUUGAACGCACAUUGCGCCCUUUGGUAUUCCGAAGGGCAUGCCUGUUCGAGCGUCAUUUCACCACUCAAGCCUGGCUUGGUAUUGGGCCUCGCGGGUCACCGCGUGCCUUGAAGUCUUUCCGGCUGAGCGAUCUAUCUCUAAGCGUUGUGGCAACUAUUCGCGGUGAGGUUAGAGCGCGUCGGCCGUUAAAUCUUUCUUAAGGUUGACCUCGGAUCAGGUAGGGAUACCCGCUGAACUUAAGCAUAUCAAUAAGCGGAGGAAAAGAAACCAACAGGGAUUGCCCUAGUAACGGCGAGUGAAGCGGCAACAGCUCAAAUUUGAAACCUGGCGCAAGCCCGGAUUGUAAUUUGUAGAGGAUGCUUCUGGGCAGCGGCCGUUCUAAGUUCCUUGGAACAGGACGUCAUAGAGGGUGAGAAUCCCGUAUGUGACCGGCGCGCACCCUUCACGUAGCUCCUUCGACGAGUCGAGUUGUUUGGGAAUGCAGCUCUAAAUGGGAGGUAAAUGUCUUCUAAAGCUAAAUACCGGCCAGAGACCGAUAGCGCACAAGUAGAGUGAUCGAAAGAUGAAAAGCACUUUGGAAAGAGAGUUAAAAAGCACGUGAAAUUGUUGAAAGGGAAGCGCUCACAACCAGACUUCGCGGUGGUGUUCCGCCGGUCUUUUGACCGGUCCACUCGCCGCCGCGAGGCCAACAUCGUCUGCGGCCGCCGGAUAAGACCCGAGGAAUGUAGCUCAUUGAGUGUUAUAGCCUCGGGUGAUGCGGCGCGCUGCGGGCGAGGUCCACGCUCGGCAAGGAU
rnacentral:rRNA from 1 species